CCUGAGCCGCCAUUUCACGGUCAGUUAAGCCACCACAGAUUUGAAUAAUACGAUCUGACAACGUGGAUUUUCCGUGGUCGAUAUGUGCAAUGAUCGAAAAGUUUCUAAUGUUUUUGAUUUUCAAGGUAAUAUCUUCUUUUAAAUUGCCUUACAAAAUCAGUUUUGAGCAAAUUUUGCCACAAAACUAAAAUGCUAUGAUUAUCACAAGAUUGCUAAUUAGCAGCAUUUUACAUACAAGAACCCACUAACACAAAGAUUCAAUGUAAAACAACUGUAAACUAGCCAAAGUUGAAUGAGUUACUUAUUUCAUUUUUCUUCAUUUUUGAACGACCAAAAACAAAAUCGCCUGUAGUAAAAAGCUUAUGUCGUGAAAGCUUAGCUACAGGCGAUGAUGUGAGACAAUGGCAUUCAACCAUGUGUUUGAACGCUGAUUUCGCCGGGGGGCAGCCCUAUUUGUAAAACGAUAGGCUGAAAAUCGAUUUUAUUGCGCCAACGUGAAGCCAUUUCUCUCGCAGUGAAAAAGCCAGCAAACCCACCGAAAAUGCCUGCUAAUGCAACCCAUACCUGCUCAAAUUCAGCUAAUUGAGCCAAUGCGGCAAAUAUAAACAAUCCAACCAAUGGCGUUAAAUAGACUAACAUAGCAGAACGUAGCAAGCUUCCUUCAGGAAUACCUACUUCAAUUUUUUGUCCAACAACCAAAGGCUGUUCAACUUCAAUUUCCAAUUCAUGCUCUGUGUUAGGUCCUAUUUUGUUUAAAGCAUAUGAACCGCAAGCCGCACGAGCGCUGCAACUUCCACAUCCGGCUGAAGAGCCAUAACGCAAUAACGCUCGUCCUUUCUGCCACCUAACUACCGUUGCCCAUUCUUUUACCAUGAUUUACUCCCGAAACUGAAUGCU
rnacentral:ncRNA from 1 species